rnacentral:rRNA from 1 species
AGCAGCCGCGGUAAUUCCAGCUCCAAUAGCGUAUAUUAAAGUUGUUGCAGUUAAAAAGCUCGUAGUUGAACCUCGGGGUCUACCCAUUGGUCAGGCUUAAUUGUCUGCACUGGUAGGAUGGAUCUCUACCUUCUGAGGAACUUUCAUGCCAUUUAUUUGGUGUGAUGGGAAAUCAGGACUGUUACUUUGAAAAAAUUAGAGUGUUUAAAGCAGACUAUCGUCUGAAUACAUUAGCAUGGAAUAAUGAAAUAGGACGGACUGAUUCUAUUUCGUUGGUUUCUAGGAUCACCGUAAUGAUUAAUAGGGAUAGUUGGGGGCAUUAGUAUUCAAUUGUCAGAGGUGAAAUUCUUGGAUUUAUUGAAGACUAACUACUGCGAAAGCAUUUGCCAAGGAUGUUUUCAUUAAUCAAGAACGAAAGUUAGGGGAUCGAAGACGAUCAGAUACCGUCGUAGUCUUAACCAUAAACUAUAGCCGACUAGGGAUCGGACGAAGUUAAUUUUAUAAUGACGCGUUC